GAUGAACGCUGGCGGCGUGCCUAAUACAUGCAAGUCGAGCGAACGGACGAGAAGCUUGCUUCUCUGAUGUUAGCGGCGGACGGGUGAGUAACACGUGGAUAACCUACCUAUAAGACUGGGAUAACUUCGGGAAACCGGAGCUAAUACCGGAUGAUAUUUUGAACCGCAUGGUUCAAAAGUGAAAGACGGUCUUGCUGUCACUAAUAGAUGGAUCCGCGCUGCAUUAGCUAGUUGGUAAGGUAACGGCUUACCAAGGCAACGAUGCAUAGCCGACCUGGGAGGGUGAUCGGCCACACUGGAACUGAGACACGGUCCAGACUCCUACGGGAGGCAGCAGUAGGGAAUCUUCCGCAAUGGGCGAAAGCCUGACGGAGCAACGCCGCGUGAGUGAUGAAGGUCUUCGGAUCGUAAAGCUCUGUUAUUAGGGAAGAACAUAAGUGUAAUUAACUGUGCACAUCUUGACGGUACCUAAACAAUAAGCCACGGCUAACUACGUG
rnacentral:rRNA from 1 species